AUGUCGGCGGACCAGGGUAAGCCACUACCAAAGUUUGGCGAAUGGGAUGUCAACGAUCCGGCUUCAGCUGAAGGUUACACAGUGAUUUUUAACAAAGCCAGGGAUGAGAAGAAGACUGGUGCCAAACCCGAGUCACCUGCAAGGGCAAACCCUCAAGCCAGGCCUCCAUUAGGGAAUGGAAAAACUCAUAGUAAAGGUUGGUUAUGCUGCAUACAUAAUCCUCCAACAGAAUCAUAG